AAUCAACGCUGGCGGCGUGCCUAACACAUGCAAGUCGUGCGCGAAAGGGGCUUCGGCCCUGAGUAGAGCGGCAAACGGGUGAGUAACGCGUGGGUGACCUACCCUUGAGUGGGGGAUAACAGUCCGAAAGGAUUGCUAAUACCGCAUGACAUCCUGUUCUUGAACGGAUGGAGAUCAAAGCCGGGGAUCGCAAGACCUGGCGCUCGAGGAGGGGCUCGCGUUCGAUUAGCUAGUUGGUGGGGUAAUGGCUCACCAAGGCGACGAUCGAUAGCCGGCCUGAGAGGGCGGACGGCCACACUGGGACUGAGACACGGCCCAGACUCCUACGGGAGGCAGCAGUGGGGAAUUGUUCGCAAUGGGCGCAAGCCUGACGACGCAACGCCGCGUGGAGGAUGAAGAUCUUCGGGUCGUAAACUCCUGUCGACCGGGACGAAUUUCCGGGAGCUAACAUCUCCCGGGAUUGACGGUACCGGUGGAGGAAGCCCCGGCUAACUCCGUGCCAGCAGCC
rnacentral:rRNA from 1 species